rnacentral:rRNA from 1 species
GCUCGGCUCACUCCCAACCCAAUGUGAACGUUACCAAACUGUUGCCUCGGCGGGAUCUCUGCCCCGGGCGCGUCGCAGCCCCGGACCAAGGCGCCCGCCGGAGGACCAACCAAAACUCUUAUUGUAUACCCCCUCGCGGGUUUUUUACUAUCUGAGCCAUCUCGGCGCCCCUCGUGGGCGUUUCGAAAAUGAAUCAAAACUUUCAACAACGGAUCUCUUGGUUCUGGCAUCGAUGAAGAACGCAGCGAAAUGCGAUAAGUAAUGUGAAUUGCAGAAUUCAGUGAAUCAUCGAAUCUUUGAACGCACAUUGCGCCCGCCAGUAUUCUGGCGGGCAUGCCUGUCCGAGCGUCAUUUCAACCCUCGAACCCCUCCGGGGGGUCGGCGUUGGGGAUCGGCCCUUUACGGGGCCGGCCCCGAAAUACAGUGGCGGUCUCGCCGCAGCCUCUCCUGCGCAGUAGUUUGCACACUCGCAUCGGGAGCGCGGCGCGUCCACAGCCGUUAAACACCCCAAACUUCUGAAAUGUUGACCUCGGAUCAGGUAGGAAUACCCGCUGAACUUAAGCAUAUCAAUAAGCNGGAGGAA